UACGGAGGGGGCAAGCGUUGUUCGGAAUUACUGGGCGUAAAGGGCUCGUAGGCGGCCAACUAAGUCAUACGUGAAAUCCCUCGGCUUAACCGGGGAACUGCAUCUGAUACUGGAUGGCUUGAGUUCGGGAGAGGGAUGCGGAAUUCCAGGUGUAGCGGUGAAAUGCGUAGAUAUCUGGAGGACACCGGUGGCGAAGGCGGCAUCCUGGACCGGCACUGACGCUGAGGAGCGAAAGCCAGGGGAGGCAAACAGGG
rnacentral:rRNA from 1 species